UACGGAGGGGGCUAGCGUUGUUCGGAAUUACUGGGCGUAAAGCGCACGUAGGCGGCUUUGUAAGUCAGGGGUGAAAUCCCGGGGCUCAACCCCGGAACUGCCCUUGAGACUGCAUCGCUUGAAUCCAGGAGAGGUGAGUGGAAUUCCGAGUGUAGAGGUGAAAUUCGUAGAUAUUCGGAAGAACACCAGUGGCGAAGGCGGCUCACUGGACUGGUAUUGACGCUGAGGUGCGAAAGCGUGGGGAGCAAACAGG
rnacentral:rRNA from 1 species